UAAUCAUAACACAAGAUAUAUUUGUCAAAACGAACUGUUCUAUUAUAUUAGGCUUUAUAGGAAGAAUCGGUCCCGAGUUGUGUUUUUGUGUGGACAAGUUUUCCGUUUGUCAAUAUAUCUAAAUCAAACUCACAUAUCUGAAAAAGCCUCGCAAUGGAGAACGACCUGCUAACGUUUUUCCUCUUGUAUAAAGUUUAAGCUUACAGACAAAAAAAAAAAGUUUGUUUACAACCUUUGGACAGCAAUUUGCUAUAUAAGAGGGGUGGAUCUGCGGAAAAGUGGGAAACAAGUAUCAAAUGAAUUUACACAAGAUUCCUUGAAAUUGCACUAGAAGCCUCUCGGAUGGUAAAUAAAAAGUUUCGCACAA